rnacentral:tRNA from 1 species
GUGGAUGUAGCUCAGGGGUAGAGCACUUGACUGUGGAUCAAGUGGUCGUGGGUUCAAAUCCCAUCAUCCACC